rnacentral:rRNA from 1 species
AGUGAACGCUGGCGGCGUGCUUAACACAUGCAAGUCGAACGAGAACGGGAUAUAGCUUGCUAUAUUUGUCAGCUAAGUGGCGCACGGGUGAGUAAUGUAUAGAUAACCUGCCCUCUAGAAAGGAAUAACAGUUGGAAACGACUGCUAAUGCCCUAUAUGCCUUUAAUACAUAAGUAUGCAAGGGAAACGCUUUAGUGCUAGAGGAUGGGUCUGUAUGGUAUCAGCUUGUUGGUGAGGUAAUGGCUCACCAAGGCUAUGACGCCUAACUGGUUUGAGAGGAUGGUCAGUCAAACUGGAACUGAGACACGGUCCAGACUCCUACGGGAGGCAGCAGUGGGGAAUAUUGCACAAUGGACGAAAGUCUGAUGCAGCAACGCCGCGUGGAGGAUGACACAUUUCGGUGCGUAAACUCCUUUUAUAUAGGAAGAUAAUGACGGUACUAUAUGAAUAAGCACCGGCUAACUCCGUGCCAGCCGCCGCCGUAA